UACGGGGGGGGCAAGCGUUGUUCGGAAUUACUGGGCGUAAAGCGUGCGCAGGCGGUUCGUCGUGUCCGAUGUGAAAGCCCCGGGCUCAACCUGGGAAUGGCAUUGGAAACUGGCGGGCUUGAGUGUGGCAGAGGGGGGUGGAAUUCCGCGUGUAGCAGUGAAAUGCGUAGAGAUCUGGAGGAACACCGAUGGCGAAGGCAGCCUUCUGGGCCAACACUGACGCUCAUGCACGAAAGCGUGGGGAGCAAACAGG
rnacentral:rRNA from 1 species